AUUUUAACCUAGACAAAAAUUUCAGCUUUCUAGGUUUUUCUCUCUUUUUCUCUCUUGGCUAUGAAGUAACCCUAUAGUUCCACAAGGGUUCUUCGGAUUGACCCUCCUUCCAAGAUAAAGGGAUUAAGAUAUUCAAUAAAUACACAUUAAGGAAUAAACUACGAAGGAAAUCAAGAUAAGUAAUCUAAAAGGGCAGAGAUUCGAGUUGGGUUGGUGUUGGAGUUUUACAACCAGGUAUGUAAGGCAUACUCUAUUUUGCACUCUUGGCAUGAAAACGGAUACUUGUUCCAUCGAGCAAGCUUCCAAGAUUAUCCUAUAACACGUGAUACAUAAUAGCACUGUAUGAUGUCCCAUGUUACUAAUGAACAUGAUCCAACUCUCUAAUGAGUUAAAAAACCUCAAUAUAUGCUUGCUACCAAUCCUAGAUUUCUAUUUUCACUAGUAAAUUUUAGAAUUUCUCCGGUUACUCAAAUAACACCCAUGUGUUAUUUUUAGCUUCUAAACACUUCAUUAGCAUGCCAACAACUCCUUAAUUCAUUGUUAUUUCAUUGAGUGCCUAUUUACAUGUCUUUUAUUGAUAGAUUAUUGUUUUAAGGUACCAUAAUGUUAUGACUACCGAAGUAACAAUCUCAAAGGCUAAUUAAACUAAGUAAUGGAAAUCUGUAAAAUGGGUGGCAGAUCAGGGGCAUAAGCCUAGAAUGGGCCGAUCCCGAUACUUUAUAUGUGGGUGGAAGCUCAGGGGCGUAAGCCUAGCAUGGGCCGAUCCCAAUUUUUAUUUACAGGUGGAAGCUCAGGGGCAUAAGUCUAGCAUGGGCCGAUCCUAAUUUGUUAUUUACCACUGAUCAGCUGGUCAUUCGUAUCAUAUGGAUUACAAAGAUAAUGAAGUAAGAAGGUAAAAGAAGGAAAUAAAUGUAAUGUACCCUGUUCCACAAGUAAAUGUAAAGGUGGUCUCUAGCACUAUUUUUACACUUGCUCCAGAUUUUUAUUGAACCUUUGUAUCUUGUAUUGUUUCUUUUCCACCUUGCAUACUCAGUACAUAUUUUUGUAAUGACUCCCUUAUGGGGGACCUAUAUUUCAUGCUACAGGUACAGGUGCUUCGAUAAACAUACCUUCUCUAUAGGAUCCCAAGUUAUCCAUCUGCUAUUGGUGAGCUCCAGUUUGCUUUGGGGCUUUCCAAGUCGGUUCUAUAUAUUUUUGGUAUUGUAUAAAAGUUAAUAGUAUGGCAGGGAUUUUCCCGACCUUAGCCAAGUUCUAUGUAUCGUCUAGAGGCUUUGUAGACCAAUGUAAAGUUAAGCAUGUUAGUGUGUUAUCUUGUAGAUGUUAUGGACCCAACGGCCAAGUCUAUUAUGUAUAUGGUUUUAGGUAUUGUCGUUUAUAUUUUUUUUAUUAAGGUAUUAUAUCCGUAG